rnacentral:rRNA from 1 species
GAUAAACGCUAGCGGCAGGCUUAACGCAUGCAAGUCGAGGGGCAGCAUAGAUUGUAGCAAUACAAUUGGUGGCGACCGGCGCACGGGUGCGUAACGCGUAUGCAACCUACCCGUCACAGCGGGAUAAUCCGGAGGAAUCUGGUCUAAUACCCCAUAACAUAUGGAUCGGCAUCGGGUCAUGUUGAAAUUUUCGGAGGUGACGGAUGGGCAUGCGUAGCAUUAGCUUGUUGGUGAGGUAACGGCUCACCAAGGCGACGAUGCUUAGGGGGACUGAGAGGUUUUCCCCCCACACUGGUACUGAGACACGGACCAGACUCCUACGGGAGGCAGCAGUGAGGAAUAUUGGUCAAUGGGCGCAAGCCUGAACCAGCCAUGCCGCGUGCAGGAUGACGGCUCUAUGAGUUGUAAACUGCUUUUGUACGAGGGUAAAGUGGGUUACGUGUAACCUUUUGAAAGCAUCGUACGAAUAAGGAUCGGCUAACUCCGUGCCAGCAGCCGCAGUAA